rnacentral:misc_RNA from 1 species
GUGAAUCAUCAAAUCUUUGAACGCAAAUUGCACUCUCUGGUAUUCCGGGGAGUAUGCUUGCUUGAGGGUUAGUUUAUUACAAAUCGGAAAGAGAAAUUUUUACGGUUCUUGAUUUGCGAAAAGUUAUAUUUUUGGUAAUCUAAUAUUUAGUUUAACAAUAUGUGAUUUUGGAAUUGUUUAUCUUUAAUUCAUUAACAAUUAUUACCAAUUUUUUUGUUUCGUUGUAUUUUUCUAAUUUCUUAAUUAGGUAAAGUAAUACAUUUUUUCUUUUUAAAUUG